rnacentral:rRNA from 1 species
GUAGUCAUAUGCUUGUCUCAAAGAUUAAGCCAUGCAUGUCUAAGUAUAAGCAAUCUAUACGGUGAAACUGCGAAUGGCUCAUUAAAUCAGUUAUCGUUUAUUUGAUAGUACCUUACUACUUGGAUAACCGUGGUAAUUCUAGAGCUAAUACAUGCUAAAAGGCCCGACUUCGGAAGGGUCGUAUUUAUUAGAUAAAAAACCAAUGCCCUUCGGGGCUCCUUGGUGAUUCAUAAUAACUUAACGAAUCGCAUGGCCUUGCGCCGGCGAUGGUUCAUUCAAAUUUCUGCCCUACCAACUUUCGACGGCUGGGUCUUGGCCAGCCGUGGUGACAACGGGUAACGGAGGGUUAGGGCUCGACCCCGGAGAAGGAGCCUGAGAAACGGCUACUACAUCCAAGGAAGGCAGCAGGCGCGCAAAUUACCCAAUCCUAACACAGGGAGGUAGUGACAAGAAAUAACAAUACAGGGCUUUUACAAGUCUUGUAAUUGGAAUGAGAACAAUUUAAAUCCCUUAUCGAGGAACAAUUGGAGGGCAAGUCUGGUGCCAGCAGCC